UAUGCCUACGGGGGGCGGCAGUGGGGAAUAUUGGGCAAUGGGCGCAAGCCUUACCCAGCAAUACCGCGUGAGUGAAGAAGGUCUUCGGAUUGUAAAGCUCUUUGAUCAGGGACGAACAGAUGACGGUACCUGAAGAACAAGCCCCGGCUAACUACGUGCCAGCAGCCGCGGUAAAACGUAGGGGGCGAGCGUUGUCCGGAAUGACUGGGCGUAAAGGGUGCGUAGGCGGAUUGAUAAGUUAGAGGUGAAAUGUCCGAGCUUAACUCGGGAACUGCCUCUAAUACUGUUGAUCUAGAGAGUAGAUG
rnacentral:rRNA from 1 species